rnacentral:misc_RNA from 1 species
GGGUAAUUCCACUCGCACAACUACUGGUGGUAAGUGGAAAAACUUCUAAAUAUCCAUACAGAUAUUUUCAGCUAUUCCAAUAGGGAUUUUCACUUGAUACAGCCAUUUAAAGAAUGUUGGCAUAGAUACGACUUUAAUUCCUCAAAAAUCCCAUCAACCACAAUUUAGGGUAAAAGCAUUUAUCAUCAUACGCCUUUGGACGCAAUGAAAUUAGAGAAAAAGGAGUUCCAAUCCAAA